rnacentral:rRNA from 1 species
AUUGAACGCUGGCGGCAGGCCUAACACAUGCAAGUCGAACGAGUGGCGGACGGGUGAGUAAUGUCUGGGAAACUGCCUGAUGGAGGGGGAUAACUACUGGAAACGGUAGCUAAUACCGCAUACCAUCAGAUGUGCCCAGAUGGGAUUAGCUAGUUGGUGGGGUAACGGCUCACCAAGGAGACGAUCCCUAGCUGGUCUGAGCUGAUGACCAGCCACACUGCAACUGGGACACGGUCAGGACUCCUCCGGGGGGCAGCAGUGGGGAAUCUUGCACAUGGGGCGAAAGCCUGAUGCAGCCAUGCCGCGUGUAUGAAGAAGGCCUUCGGGUUGUAAAGUACUUUCAGCGGGGAGGCGUUACCCGCAGAAGAAGCACCGGCUAACUCCGUACCAGCCGCCGCGGUAAUAC